rnacentral:rRNA from 1 species
GACAGAGGAUGCAAGCGUUAUCCGGAAUGAUUGGGCGUAAAGCGUCUGUAGGUGGCUUUUUAAGUCUGCCGUCAAAUCCCAGGGCUCAACCCUGGACAGGCGGUGGAAACUACCAAGCUGGAGUACGGUAGGGGCAGAGGGAAUUUCCGGUGGAGCGGUGAAAUGCGUAGAGAUCCGGAGGAAGACCGGUGGCGAAGGCGGUCUGCUGGGCAGUUUCUGACACUGGUGCGCGACAGCGUGGGGAGCAAACAGG